AUUAUUUUCGUUUGUUUUGUAUUUGUAUUUAGUAUUCGUCGUCCGAUGAAAAUCGAUACGUCAAACGUAGAGACGUGUACGGGGCCAGAUCCGUAAUCAACGCACGGAUAAACCAAUCGUAUAAAAGCAGAUGCACUGAGAAACAACGGAGCGUGCGGAGUACAUUAUUGUAACACGAUUCGUUGGGCGUACCUCUGCGUGUACCGACAACAAUUUUCCUACAUCGAUAUGACAAAAAUAAUAUUCGAAUCGAAAUAAUACAUCUGAAAUCAUUGAAGAAAUCCUUAAUCAUUGCAUUGCUAUGUACAAUAUCAAGCUUAAUUGAAAAUGUCAAAAAAAAUACCUGUCUUUCACUAAAUGACAAGUAUCAAUUAAUUGAAAUGAGUGAAAAUGGACAUUUUGUAAAAUAUAUUACAAAAUAUAUUUAACUGUGGAAAAACGCAAGUUUACAAUGUUCUUAAAAAUGAAAAUAAAAUAAAAGAAAAAUGGAUAAGAAAAAGGAAAUGGUAAAAUGAAACGAAAAAUUAAGAACUAUGAAAAAGAAACUAUUAAUAAUGAAAUCUGGAAUUGAUUUACGUCUGAACAAGCUAAAAAUAUUCCAGUUUUAGGCCUGUAGUAAGCAGAACAUGGGUCAGGUUCUGAACCGCUGUACACUAAUACAAAAAUAUUUAUUAUACUGACGGCUCUUGACAGCUUCGCUUGAACCAUAGAUAUUGGAGUCACAAAGUCAAUAAGAAGUUAGUUUAAAAGUAAUAUUUAUUAUUACACAUAUACAAUAUAAACAUAAGUACAAAUAAUGUUUAAGUAAAUUUGAGGACAGAACAUAAAAGUCUGCCCAAGAAGAUAAUUGUUUGAACUCUAAAGCUGACGACGAUGUGUGACGCACAACGUGGCUGAAUGCAAUGAACAGGACGUAGAUAAUAAUACUCAGGACAGUGAUUCUGGAGAAGACGUUGCAAUUAUAAAUAGUCGAAACCGUAAUGAACCGGAGCAAAACCUUCCUAGUGGCGAAUGCAUCGAAGAUGAAGGGUUUAUGCCAGAUGUUACGUGUUCCAAACAUACACAACAAAACCGUCCGAUAAUUGACUGCCGGCGAUAUAAAGUCCCACUCAUACGAGAAAGAGUUAAAUGCCACUAUAGUAAUGUAUGUGAAAGCAAUUUCAGCAACGAAGGGUCUUGCACGAAUGUUAACGCUGAUAAUCAUGGACGACACGAUGCAGUUUAUGCAGUGGGCAUGCCAGUAAAUGUGUAUGUAUCUGGAAACCCGUAUUUAGUGGCAGUAAUAACAAAAAUAACCGGCGACAAAGUUUAUGUUAAAUAUCCCGGAGGAAUAUACGAUCAGUACGAGUAUUACGUUCCAAAUAAAGAUAUAAUGCCUUUUAAAUCUCAAUUUUCAAGUGGAAUAUUUUGUCCAAUAAGACCAAUACCCAAAAACGAUCCAAGAAGACAAUGUCUCCGAAGAAAAAUCAUGUUAUACGAAGAACGUAUGCAACGCUAUUUAACACGUUAAUUAAAACAAGGGCAGAUUUAAACAUAUCAUUUUUCGAAUAGUACUUUAACAAAUGUUAUAUGAAAUUAUUCAAUACAUAGUGGUCUAUUAGAAAAAAAUAUGUUUAUAAACUUUAAAAAUGUAUUAUGACUGUGUUUUUUUUAUAAAUUCUCCAAAUUUAUGUCAUUGGUUGCCGCAUGAUGCCAGUCACGAGCUUCCUGCCGUCAUCCAUCGCUAUCGUUAGCCUCCUAAAUAUACCCACAGGAUAGCAUAUGGGUUCAUUUACAAUCGUUCUGUAGUGGUUUUUAAAGCAGGAGGUAUAAAGUUGAAAUAUUGUGUAAUAUGCAUAUCGAGUGCACAAUUUCGCGUACAAAGUAUUUACGAUAAAAAAGAAACGCCCAGAGUUGACAACACGUAUACAUGCCCAGAUCAGUGAGUCGGUCAGUUUCUCUGUCGACCACAACACGUCAACUCUAACGCAUUCUCGUAUAUAUAAGUACUUGCACGCGGAUGGUAAAGCUCCAUGUGUAGUGUUCUGGAAUGGUAACACAGAUAAGGAUUUAAUAGAAAAAUUAGGAACACAUGUAAAAUAAUAUCUGGACAUAACAACCAUAUUAUACAACUCAUAUAAUAAUAUUUACGACCUUGUACUACAAGACAUGAGUCGAAAUAAACAAGUGAUAUCUAAAAUACCCAUUGGGCAUUAUAUUAAAAAAAAUGGUGGGACUCUGAAUUUAUUAGAGUGUCACACAUUGAUAUGUGGCCAAAUCCAUGAGGGGGUCGUAGAUUGUCAUGAUCCAGUUACCGACGUAAUAUUAACCAGAUGUAUUUUUAACUACAUAAUGAAAACGGUCAAACCCAGUACAAUUUAUUCUUAUUGUAGUGGGAAACCAAUUAAGGCUAGGGGUAGAAAAAAAAAAACAAGGAAAGAAAAAAAGAG
rnacentral:misc_RNA from 1 species